UAAGACGAGGGAUCCAAGCGUUGUUCGGAAUCAUUGGGCGUAAAGCGGGUGUAGGUGGCUAUAUAAGUCAGAUGUGAAAGCCCAGGGCUUAACCCUGGAAGUGCAUUUGAUACUGUUUAGCUUGAGUGUGGGAGAGGUUACUGGAAUUCCUGGUGUAGUGGUGAAAUACGUAGAUAUCAGGAGGAAUACCGGUGGCGAAGGCGGGUAACUGGCCCAACACUGACACUGAGACCCGAAAGCGUGGGGAUCAAACAGG
rnacentral:rRNA from 1 species